rnacentral:tRNA from 1 species
GCCCCGUUCAUCUAGCGGUUAGGAUAUCGGAUUUUCAUUCCGAGCACAGGGGUUCGAUUCCCCUACGGGGUA